rnacentral:lncRNA from 1 species
GACUGCCGCUUUGUACAACUUGAGCAGCUGAUUACCAAGUCCUAUAGCAUAUUCCACUACUCGACACUUAAGUCAAGCCAGUCUUCAGCAACAACAAUAUCUAUGGCCAAACCCAAAAUAUUUUUACUUGAUUCAAAUGCAAAAGGAGCUUUAUAUCUAUAAACAACAUUGGACCUAGAAAAGGUUAGAUACUAGGUCAAGUUUCAAGUAAAGAUUAGGUAUUUAACAAGUUAUUUAGCUAUAAUUUUGAGUUAUUUUUUGAAUUAUUUAAUGCAUCUAAUAUGUAAUCUUAUAAACCGUAAAACAUGAAAAAUAUAAUGAUAUAAAACAUAUAAAAGUUGGAUCUAAAAGAGGCUAUCUACUCAACUAUUGCUUUAAUACUUAAGCAUUCACAUGCAAUCAAAGAAUAUGAAGCAUGGAAAAGAUCCUACAAUAAUCAAACUUAGCAAAAAAGUUAAACCACAA